rnacentral:rRNA from 1 species
UACGGAGGGUGCGAGCGUUGUCCGGAAUCACUGGGCGUAAAGGGCGCGUAGGUGGCGCGGGCAGUCAACGGUGAAAGUUCGGGGCUCAACCCUGAAUCGGCCGUCGAUACUCCCGGGCUUGACGCACUGUAGAGGCUAAUGGAAUUCCGGGUGGUAGCGGUGGAAGUGCGUAGAGAUCCGGAAGAACACCCGUGGCUAAGGCGGCUCUCUAGUACGGUACUGACGCUGAGACGCGAAAGCGUGGGGAGCGAACAGG